rnacentral:rRNA from 1 species
CUACGGGAGGCAGCAGUGGGGAAUUUUCCGCAAUGGACGCAAGUCUGACGGAGCGACGCUGCGUGAAGGAUGAAGGCCCGCGGGUCGUAAACUUCUUUUCUCGAAGAAGAAGCUCUGACGGUAUUCGAGGAAUAAGCAUCGGCUAACUCUGUGCCAGCAGCCGCGGUAAGACAGAGGAUGCAAGUGUUAUUCGGAAUGAUUGGGCGUAAAGAGUCUGUAGGCGGUUUAGAAAGUCUUUUGUCAAAUACCUCGGCUCAACCGAGAUCUCGCAAAAGAAACUUCUAGACUUGAGGGAAGUAGAGGUACAGGGAAUUCCCGGUGGAGCGGUGAAAUGCGUAGAUAUCGGGAGGAACACCAAUAUGGCGAAGGCACUGUACUGGGCUUUUCCUGACGCUAAGAGACGAAAGCUAAAGGAGUGAUUAGGAUUAGAUACCCUAGUAAUUUUAGCCGUAAACGAUGGAAACUCAGUGCCGAGCAAUAUAACGAGCGGUGCUCAAGCUAACGCGUGAAGUUUCCCGCCUGGGGAUUACGCUUGCAAAAGUGAAACUCAAAGGAAUUGACGGGGACCCGCACAAGCGGUGGAGUAUGUGGUUUAAUUCGACAACACGAAGAACCUUACCAGGGUUUGAAAUCAUUUCAAAACUCCUUGAAAGAGGAGCCUCCUUCGGGAUGGAAUGACAGGUGGUGCAUGGCUGUCGUCAGCUCGUGUUGUGAAAUGUCGAGUUAAGUCUCGUAACGAGCGCAACCCAUGUCUCUUGUUGCUCACUGAGUGCUUAAGAGAGACUGCCGAUCAACAUCGGAGGAAGGUGUGGAUGAUGUCAAGUCAGCAUGCCCCUUACAUCCUGGGCUACACACGUACUACAAUGGUAGGGACAAUGAGCUGCGAUCCUGCGAAGGCUAGCCAAUCUCAAAAACCCUAUCUCAGUUCGGAUUGCACUCUGCAACUCGAGUGCAUGAAGGUGGAAUCGCUAGUAAUCGCUGGUCAGCUAUACAGCGGUGAAUACGUUCCCGGGUCUUGUACACACUGCCCGUCACACCAUGGAAGUCGACUCUUCCCUAAGUCGUUACUCGAACCCAUUGGGACGAGGAUGCCGAAGGCAGGGUUGGUGACUGGGGUGAAGUCGUAACAAGGUAGCCGUACUGGAAGGUGUGGCUGGAAUACCUCCUU